UGGGGAAUAUUGGACAAUGGGCGCAAGCCUGAUCCAGCCAUGCCGCGUGUGUGAUGAAGGCCUUAGGGUUGUAAAGCACUUUCACUGGGGAAGAUAAUGACGGUACCCAGAGAAGAAGCCCCGGCUAACUUCGUGCCAGCAGCCGCGGUAAUACGAAGGGGGCUAGCGUUGUUCGGAAUCACUGGGCGUAAAGCGCACGUAGGCGGACACUUAAGUCAGAGGUGAAAUCCCAAGGCUCAACCUUGGAACUGCCUUUGAUACUGGGUGUCUUGAGGUCGAGAGAGGUGAGUGGAACUGCGAGUGUAGAGGUGAAAUUCGUAGAUAUUCGCAAGAACACCAGUGGCGAAGGCGGCUCACUGGCUCGAUUCUGACGCUGAGGUGCGAAAGCGUGGGGAGCAAACA
rnacentral:rRNA from 1 species